rnacentral:tRNA from 1 species
GCCUGGGUGGCGAAAUCGGUAGACGCAGUGGAUUCAAAAUCCACCGGGGGAAACUCCGUGCCGGUUCGAGUCCGGCCCUAGGCA